rnacentral:rRNA from 1 species
GACGAACCACCCAAACGUUAUUCGGAAUUACUGGGCUUAAAGGGUGCGUAGGCUGUGCGGAAAGUUGGGUGUGAAAUACCUCAGCUUAACUGAGGAAUGGCGCUCAAAACUACCGUGCUCGAGGGAGAUAGAGGUGAGCGGAACUUAGGGUGGAGCGGUGAAAUGUGUUGAUAUCCUAAGGAACACCGGUGGCGAAAGCGGCUCACUGGAUCUCUUCUGACGCUGAUGCACGAAAGCGUGGGGAGCAAACAGG